UGGUGAGAAUCAUGCUUGGGGUAUGA
rnacentral:piRNA from 1 species